rnacentral:rRNA from 1 species
GGAUCAUUACACAAUAAAAUACAAAGGCCGUUCGCGGCUGGACUAUUUAUUACCCUUGUCUUUUGCGCACUUGUUGUUUCCUGGGCGGGCUCGCUCGCCACCAGGACCACAAUAUAAACCUUUUUUAUGCAGUUGCAAUCAGCGUCAGUAUAACAAAUGUAAAUCAUUUACAACUUUCAACAACGGAUCUCUUGGUUCUGGCAUCGAUGAAGAACGCAGCGAAAUGCGAUACGUAGUGUGAAUUGCAGAAUUCAGUGAAUCAUCGAAUCUUUGAACGCACAUUGCGCCCUUUGGUAUUCCAAAGGGCAUGCCUGUUCGAGCGUCAUUUGUACCCUCAAGCUUUGCUUGGUGUUGGGCGUUUUUGUCUUUGGCCCGCCAAAGACUCGCCUUAAAAUGAUUGGCAGCCGGCCUACUGGUUUCGCAGCGCAGCACAUUUUUGCGCUUGCAAUCAGCAAAAGAGGACGGCAAUCCAUCAAGACUCCUUCUCACGUUUGACCUCGGAUCAGGUAGGGAUACCCGCUGAACUUAAGCAUAUCAAUAA